rnacentral:rRNA from 1 species
GACGAACGCUGGCGGCGUGCUUAACACAUGCAAGUCGAGCGGAGCGGCGAACGGGUGAGUAACGCGUGAGUAACUGCCCCCCUCUCUGGGCUAACAGUUGGAAACGGCUGCUAAUACCGGAAAGUGUGGUAUGAGUCGCGUCCUAUCAGCUUGUUGGUGGGGUAAUGGCCUACAAAGGCGACGACGGGUAGCCGGCCUGGGAGGGCGACCGGGCACAUUGGGCUGAGAUAGGGCCCAAACGCCUGCUGGGGUCAGCAGUGGGGGAUUUUGCACGAUGGGGGAAACGCGGAUGCAGCAACGCGGGUGGGGGAUGACGGUCUUCGGGUUGUAAACCGCUUUCAGCCAGAACGCGGUAGUGGCAGAAGAAGCACCGGCUAACUACGUGCCAGCCGCCGCGGUAAUAC